UACGAAGGGUGCAAGCGUUACUCGGAAUUACUGGGCGUAAAGCGUGCGUAGGCGGUUAUUUAGGUCGGCUGUGAAAGCCCCGGGCUCAACCUGGGAAUUGCAUUCGAGACUGAAUAGCUAGGGUACGGUAGAGGGAAGCGGAAUUUCCGGUGUAGCGGUGAAAUGCGUAGAUAUCGGAAGGAACAUCAGUGGCGAAAGCGGCUUCCUGGACCAGUACCGACGUUCAGGCACGAAAGCGUGGGGAGCAAACAGG
rnacentral:rRNA from 1 species